UAGGGAAUCUUCGGCAAUGGGGGGAACCCUGACCGAGCAACGCCGCGUGAGUGAAGAAGGUUUUCGGAUCGUAAAGCUCUGUUGUUAAGGAAGAACGAGUGUGAGAAUGGAAAGUUCAUACUGUGACGGUACUUAACCAGAAAGGGACGGCUAACUACGUGCCAGCAGCCGCGGUAAUACGUAGGUCCCGAGCGUUGUCCGGAUUUAUUGGGCGUAAAGCGAGCGCAGGCGGUUAGAAAAGUCUGAAGUGAAAGGCAGUGGCUCAACCAUUGUAGGCUUUGGAAACUGUUUAACUUGAGUGCAGAAGGGGAGAGUGGAAUUCCAUGUGUAGCGGUGAAAUGCGUAGAUAUAUGGAGGAACACCGGUGGCGAAAGCGGUUCUCUGGUCUGUAACUGACGCUGAGGCUCGAAAGCGUGGGGAGCGAACAGGAUUAGAUACCCUGGUAGUCCACGCCGUAAACGAUGAGUGCUAGGUGUUAGGUCCUUUCCGGGACUUAGUGCCGCAGCUAACGCAUUAAGCACUCCGCCUGGGGAGUACGACCGCAAGGUUG
rnacentral:rRNA from 1 species